rnacentral:rRNA from 1 species
UACGGAGGGAGCUAGCGUUGUUCGGAAUUACUGGGCGUAAAGCGCACGUAGGCGGCUUUGUAAGUUAGAGGUGAAAGCCCGGAGCUCAACUCCGGAAUUGCCUUUAAGACUGCAUCGCUUGAAUCCGGGAGAGGUGAGUGGAAUUCCGAGUGUAGAGGUGAAAUUCGUAGAUAUCAGGAGGAACACCAGUGGCGAAGGCAGCUCGCUGGGACGGUACUGACGCUGAGGCGCGAAAGCGUGGGGAGCAAACAGG